UUAAAAGUAAGAAUAUUGCAAAGAGGGGCAAUGGAGAUAUUGUUUCAAACCUAGGGACCUAAUGAGAAAGGGUUUGGGUUGAAUUGGGGGCCUUAGGACCGAAUUGUUCAGCCACUUAAGGACCCUUAAACACAACUUAACCUUAAUAACCAUAUUGCUUGGAAUUCCCAUUUUUGAAGACCUUUCAACAGUACUUGGACGAUCCCCGGAGAUUGAAUCGUUGGAUCAUCGAGAAAUUUGGCGUGAGGCUUUCCAAGAGAUAUAUUGAAGUUUUGACCGUUGGAAUUUCAAUUCCAAGGUCUAGAGAUAGAGUUACAUAUCGUCGAUCAUGGCAGAAGUUUUAGGGUUGUUGUCGAAGUCGUUUUAGGUGCAAGGUUUGUAUGGAGCUUUCAAUCUCAACAACCUAGGUUUGAUUUCUUACUCAUUUCUUGGAAAAGUCCUAUGGGACCUAGGGAUGAUGUGUUACAGACGUGGAAGGUCUUAAUCAAAUUUGGGACUUAAUGGGUUUAGUGGAUUGAACUCCAACCCUAGUUUUAUCUUUCUGAAAAAUCCAUUGUUAUGUCCUACUUUAUAAGCAUCAUAACUAAUACUAGAGAUGUUCCUUGUCGAAAUUAGUACCCAAAGUUUGUAUGUGAGUCUAUUUUAUUUCAUUGUUUUGGCCGAAAGUUGAGCGCGUGUAACUAGUCCCUGAAAAAGGUAUUAACCUGAACUUCAUGAUCAUGGUUUCAUAACCUGGUUUAGAUGGGUUUUUGUGUGUGUGUGUGUGUGGGGGGGGGGGGGGGGUUGACAAGUAUUGAACAAGCUGUUGUUUUGGGUUAAAAUCUAGAAAUUAAACCUAGUAGUUUAGUUACAUGUUUUCAGUGAAAGGUUAGCCAUUUAUAACCUUGAUUGUUAUUGUUAAAGAGGAUUGAAGGGUGACCCAGUGUGAGUGAGCCCUGGGCUACGUUUGGAGAUUGGUCUUGCUAAUUGAGGUGAGUUUCUCACUACACUGUGUUGUAUUAUAUAUUUUUUUAUGUUACCCUGUGUGUACUAUGUGUUGUUUAUGCGAGUAGUACUAGGCGAGGUAGAGUCUAGUGGUUUCCCUUAAGUAUUGAGGAUUAUGCAUGGUAGGACUUGGUACAUCCAAGUGGGGAUCGGGCGUAGCCAAUGUGUCCUAAAGGCUCGACGUACAAAGCAAGGGGGGAGCAGACUUAGCCAAUGUGUCCCAAUGGGUUCGGGUAUGGGGGAGCGGACUUAGCCAAUGUGUCCCAAGGGCUCGACGUACAAAGCAAUGGGGGGUCGGACCUAGCCAGUGUGCUCCAGUAGGAGUAUGUACAUAAGAUGGUCGGGCAAAUGAGUUUCGUUUCAUUAAAUGACUUAACUUUUUGUAGAUUGAAGUUGAGUUUCGAUUAAUUCAGUGAAGAUGAAUUGAAGAUGGAAUUUGAUGGGGUCUGAUAUCCUUCGUUCUGUUUCUUUGGUGCUUCAAGAUGAUGGAUCGAAAGUAGUUUUCGAUUGUACUAGUUUUCGAUGAUGAGCAGAUUUUGUUGGUAUCUA